GGGUUGUGAGGUUAAGCGACUAAGCGUACACGGUGGAUGCCCUGGCAGUCAGAGGCGAUGAAGGGCGUGCUAAUCUGCGAUAAGCGCCGGUAAGGUGAUAUGAACCGUUAUAACCGGCGAUACCCGAAUGGGGAAACCCAGUGUGACUCGUCACACUAUCAUUAACUGAAUCCAUAGGUUAAUGAGGCGAACCGGGGGAACUGAAACAUCUAAGUACCCCGAGGAAAAGAAAUCAACCGAGAUUCCCCCAGUAGCGGCGAGCGAACGGGGAGGAGCCCAGAGCCUGAAUCAGCAUGUGUGUUAGUGGAAGCGUCUGGAAAGGCGCGCGAUACAGGGUGACAGCCCCGUACACAAAAGCGCAUGUGCUGUGAGCUCGAUGAGUAGGGCGGGACACGUGGUAUCCUGUCUGAAUAUGGGGGGACCAUCCUCCAAGGCUAAAUACUCCUGACUGACCGAUAGUGAACCAGUACCGUGAGGGAAAGGCGAAAAGAACCCCGGCGAGGGGAGUGAAAAAGAACCUGAAACCGUGUACGUACAAGCAGUGGGAGCCCCACCACCAAAGCAUUUGCUGUACCGCGUUGACGGAGCGAAGCGACGUCAAACCGAUAAAACAGCAGUGUAAAGUGAGCCGCAGGGCGCUUUGCGCGACAGCGCAAAGGCAGGCGGUUUCGCGUAGCGAAAGCGAAUGC
rnacentral:rRNA from 2 species